AGUCAAGUAAUUAAGUGCAUGUGGUGGAUGCCUUGGCAGUCAGAGGCGAUGAAAGACGUGAUAGCCUGCGAAAAGCUCCGGGGAGGCGGCAAAUAUCCUUUGAUCCGGAGAUGUCUGAAUGGGGGAACCCACCUACUUUAAGGUAGGUAUUGCAACAUGAAUACAUAGUGUUGCAAGGCGAACGAGGGGAAGUGAAACAUCUCAGUACCCUUAGGAAAAGAAAUCAAUUGAGAUUCCCUCAGUAGCGGCGAGCGAACGGGGAUCAGCCCAUUAAGUUAUGUGUGUUUUAGUGGAACGCUCUGGGAAGUGCGAACGUAGAGGGUGAUAUUCCCGUACACGAAAGGGCACACAUAAUGAUGACGAGUAGGGCGAGGCACGUGAAACCUUGUCUGAAUAUGGGGGGACCAUCCUCCAAGGCUAAAUACUCCUGACUGACCGAUAGUGAACCAGUACCGUGAGGGAAAGGCGAAAAGAACCCCUGUGAGGGGAGUGAAAUAGAUCCUGAAACCGCAUGCAUACAAGCAGUGGGAGCACCUUCGUGGUGUGACUGCGUACCUUUUGUAUAAUGGGUCAGCGACUUAUAUUCAGUAGCGAGGUUAACCGUAUAGGGGAGCCGUAGAGAAAUCGAGUCUUAAUAGGGCGUUUAGUUGCUGGGUAUAGACCCGAAACCAGGCGAUCUAUCCAUGAGCAGGUUGAAGGUUGGGUAACACUAACUGGAGGACCGAACCCACUGUCGUUGAAAAGCCAGGGGAUGACUUGUGGAUAGGGGUGAAAGGCUAAUCAAGCCUGGUGAUAGCUGGUUCUCCCCGAAAGCUAUUUAGGUAGCGCCUCGGACGAAUACCAUAGGGGGUAGAGCACUGUUUCGGCUAGGGGGUCAUCCCGACUUACCAAACCGAUGCAAACUCCGAAUACCUAUGAGUACUAUCCGGGAGACAGACUGCGGGUGCUAACGUCCGUAGUCAAGAGGAAAACAAUCCAGACCGCCAGCUAAGGCCCCAAAAUCAUAGUUAAGUGGGAAACGAUGUGGGAAGGCAUAGACAGCUAGGAGGUUGGCUUAGAAGCAGCCACCCUUUAAAGAAAGCGUAAUAGCUCACUAGUCGAGUCGGCCUGCGCGGAAGAUGUAACGGGGCUAAAACUAUGUGCCGAAGCUGCGGAUGUAUACUUUGUAUACGUGGUAGGGGAGCGUUCUGUAAGCCGAUGAAGGUGUGUUGAGAAGCAUGCUGGAGGUAUCAGAAGUGCGAAUGCUGACGUGAGUAACGACAAAACGGGUGAAAAACCCGUUCGCCGAAAGACCAAGGGUUCCAGUCCAACGUUAAUCGGGGCUGGGUGAGUCGACCCCUAAGGCGAGGCCGAAAGGCGUAGUCGAUGGGAAAAUGGUUAAUAUUCCAUUACUUCUGUGUAAUGCGAUGAGAGGACGGAGAAGGCUAAAUCAGCCUGGCGUUGGUUGUCCAGGUGAAAGGAUGUAGGCAUGUAUCUUAGGCAAAUCCGGGGUACUCUAUGCUGAGAUCUGAUAGCAAGCUGUACUUGUACAGCGAAGUGGUUGAUGCCAUGCUUCCAGGAAAAGUCUCUAAGCUUCAGUUACACAGGAAUCGUACCCGAAACCGACACAGGUGGUCAGGUCGAGUAGACCAAGGCGCUUGAGAGAACUCUGCUGAAGGAACUAGGCAAAAUGGUACCGUAACUUCGGGAGAAGGUACGCUGUUGUUGGUGAUGGAACUCGCUUCCUGAGCUGACGACAGCCGCAGAAACCAGGCCGCUGCAACUGUUUAUUAAAAACAUAGCACUCUGCAAACACGAAAGUGGACGUAUAGGGUGUGAUGCCUGCCCGGUGCUGGAAGGUUAAUUGAUGGGGUUAGCGUAAGCGAAGCUCUUGAUCGAAGCCCCAGUAAACGGCGGCCGUAACUAUAACGGUCCUAAGGUAGCGAAAUUCCUUGUCGGGUAAGUUCCGACCUGCACGAAUGGCAUAAUGAUGGCGGCGCUGUCUCCAGCAGAGGCUCAGUGAAAUCGAAAUCGCUGUGAAGAUGCAGUGUACCCGCGGCUAGACGGAAAGACCCCGUGAACCUUUACUGCAGCUUGACACUGAACUUUGACCUUACUUGUGUAGGAUAGGUGGGAGGCUUUGAAGCUGGAACGCUAGUUCCAGUGGAGCCGUCCUUGAAAUACCACCCUGGUAAUGUUGAGGUUCUAACUCUGUCCCGUGAUCCGGGACGAGGACCGUGUCUGGUGGGUAGUUUGACUGGGGCGGUCUCCUCCUAAAGAGUAACGGAGGAGUACGAAGGUGCGCUCAGCGUGGUCGGAAAUCACGCGUAGAGUAUAAAGGCAAAAGCGCGCUUAACUGCGAGACCCACAAGUCGAGCAGGUACGAAAGUAGGUCUUAGUGAUCCGGUGGUUCUGUAUGGAAGGGCCAUCGCUCAACGGAUAAAAGGUACUCUGGGGAUAACAGGCUGAUACCGCCCAAGAGUUCAUAUCGACGGCGGUGUUUGGCACCUCGAUGUCGGCUCAUCUCAUCCUGGGGCUGAAGCAGGUCCCAAGGGUAUGGCUGUUCGCCAUUUAAAGAGGUACGCGAGCUGGGUUUAGAACGUCGUGAGACAGUUCGGUCCCUAUCUACCGUGGGCGCUGGAAAUUUGAGAGGAUCUGCUCCUAGUACGAGAGGACCAGAGUGGACGAACCUCUGGUGUACCGGUUGUGACGCCAGUCGCAUCGCCGGGUAGCUAUGUUCGGAAGGGAUAACCGCUGAAAGCAUCUAAGCGGGAAGCCUACCUCAAGAUAAGAUUUCCCUAGGACUUAUGUCCUCUAAAGAGCCGUUCGAGACUAGGACGUUGAUAGGUUGGAUGUGGAAGCAUAGUGAUAUGUGAAGCUGACCAAUACUAAUUGCUCGUGAGGCUUGACUAU
rnacentral:rRNA from 1 species